UAACGCGUAAGGAACUUGCCUCUUGGUCUGGGACAACUGUUGGAAACGACAGCUAAUACCGGAUAUUAUGAGAUUCUCGCAUGGGAAACUUAUGAAAGCUAUAUGCGCCAAGAGAGAGCCUUGCGUUCCAUUAGCUAGUUGGUGGGGUAACGGCCCACCAAGGCGACGAUGGAUAGCCGGCCUGAGAGGGUGAACGGCCACAAGGGGACUGAGACACGGCCCUUACUCCUACGGGAGGCAGCAGUGGGGAAUAUUGGACAAUGGGCCACAAGCCUGAUCCAGCAAUUCUGUGUGCACGAUGAAGGUCUUCGGAUUGUAAAGUGCUUUCAGUUGGGAAGAAGAAAGUGACGGUACCAACAGAAGAAGCGACGGCUAAAUACGUGCCAGCAGCCGCGGUAAUACGUAUGUCGCAAGCGUUAUCCGGAUUUAUUGGGCGUAAAGCGCGUCUAGGCGGAAAAAUAAGUCUGAUGUUAAAAUGCGGGGCUCAACUCCGUAUUGCGUUGGAAACUGUUUUUCUAGAGUACUGGAGAGGUGGGCGGAACUACAAGUGUAGAGGUGAAAUUCGUAGAUAUUUGUAGGAAUGCCGAUGGAGAAGUCAGCUCACUGGACAGAUACUGACGCUAAAGCGCGAAAGCGUG
rnacentral:rRNA from 1 species